GACGAACGCUGGCGGCGUGCUUAACACAUGCAAGUCGAACGGGAAGGCCCUGCUUUUGUGGGGUGCUCGAGUGGCGAACGGGUGAGUAACACGUGAGUAACCUGCCCUUGACUUUGGGAUAACUUCAGGAAACUGGGGCUAAUACCGGAUAGGAGCUCCUGCUGCAUGGUGGGGGUUGGAAAGUUUCGGCGGUUGGGGAUGGACUCGCGGCUUAUCAGCUUGUUGGUGGGGUAGUGGCUUACCAAGGCUUUGACGGGUAGCCGGCCUGAGAGGGUGACCGACCACAUUGGGACUGAGAUACGGCCCAGACUCCUACGGGAGGCAGCAGUGGGGAAUAUUGCACAAUGGGCGGAAGCCUGAUGCAGCAACGCCGCGUGCGGGAUGACGGCCUUCGGGUUGUAAACCGCUUUCGCCUGUGACGAAGCGUGAGUGACGGUAAUGGGUAAAGAAGCACCGGCUAACUACGUG
rnacentral:rRNA from 1 species